rnacentral:rRNA from 1 species
AUUGCNANUGGGCGCAGCCUGAUGCAGCGACGCCGCGUGGGGGAUGACGGCCUUCGGGUUGUAAACCUCUUUCACCAUCGACGAAGCCUGGGGUGACCUAGGUGACGGUAGGUGGAGAAGAAGCACCGGCCAACUACGUGCCAGCAGCCGCGGUAAUACGUAGGGUGCGAGCGUUGUCCGGAAUUACUGGGCGUAAAGAGCUCGUAGGUGGUUUGUCGCGUUGUUCGUGAAAUCUCACGGCUUAACUGUGAGCGUGCGGGCGAUACGGGCAGACUAGAGUACUGCAGGGGAGACUGGAAUUCCUGGUGUAGCGGUGGAAUGCGCAGGUAUCAGGAGGAACACCGGUGGCGAAGGCGGGUCUCUGGGCAGUAACUGACGCUGAGGAGCGAAAGCGUGGGGAGCGAACAGGAUUAGAUACCCUGGUAGUCCACGCCGUAAACGGUGGGUACUAGGUGUGGGUUUCCUUCCUUGGGAUCCGUGCCGUAGCUAACGCAUUAAGUACCCCGCCUGGGGAGUACGGCCGCAAGGCUAAAACUCAAAGGAAUUGACGGA